rnacentral:lncRNA from 1 species
GCAUGCAGCUGGUGGCUGGCGGCUGGUCGGUGGCAGCUGGUGGUUGCCUUCCUUGACCAUCUAGAUUGAGUUUAAUAUUCAACAAAUCUCCCCUUUAAACUCAAUCGAGGGAUGUCAUGCCAAGCAUGAACACUUCUCAUUUCAAUGCCUUCUCUCUGCUUGUAGCCUUUAUCCACUAAUUUGGCUUUCGUCUUGUAGACCCUUUUGACACCUAUUGCUUUCUUG